GGUGGCAAUCCUCAACGAACAUGGCGAUUUUAUUUUUUAUAUAUAUUUUUAUAUUUUUUCGCUUGCGAUGUUUGAAACCAGAGGCCCAUUUGAGAGGAAGUUCUCUUCGAGAUUUCUCUGUCCUUUCUCAAAUUCAAGCUCGCCUAUCCCAGAGGAACACGGGGAAGAAAUGGAAGAUUUAAGCUAGCGAAGAGAGGUUGUAUAUUUAGCUAAGCUGAGAAAGCAAAGAGAGGUCGAUCUCACGGUCGCCGGCCUUGUUCUUGUCUCAGUAAUAGAUCGAGUUCUUCUUUUGUUUUUUUCGCCUAACCAGUCAAAACAAUGAGUUUCAUGCCUGGCCUCCGAGGACGGUGGGGAUUGAUUAGCUUUGCUAUAGUCAUCCACAUCUGACCCAAACAGCCUUCUACAACCUUCAAGUCCUCAUUUAUUUUGCUGGGUUUAAAGAAGAUGAAUGCAGAGAGAAAUACAUCCGGUUCAACGAUUAAAAACAAAAAUA